AUUGAACGCUGGCGGCAGGCCUAACACAUGCAAGUCGAGCGGAUGAAGGGAGCUUGCUCCUGGUUUCAGCGGCGGACGGGUGAGUAAUGCCUAGGAAUCUGCCUGGUAGUGGGGGAUAACGUCUGGAAACGGGCGCUAAUAACGCCUACGACCUGAGGGAGAAAGUGGGGGAUCUUCGGACAUCACGCUAUCAGAUGAGCCUAGGUCGGAUUAGCUAGUUGGUGGGGUAAAGGCCUACCAAGCCGACGAUCCGUAACUGGUCGGAGAGGAUGAUCAGUCACACUGGAACGGAGACACGGUCCAGGCGCCUACGGGAGGGAGCAGUGGCGAAUGUUGGACAGUGGGCGGAAGCCUUAUCCAGCCAUGCCGCGUGUGAGAAGAAGGUCUUCGGAUUGUAAAGCACUUUAAGUUGGGAGGAAGGGCAGUAAGUUAAUACCUUGCUGUUUUGACGUUACCAACAGAAGAAGCACCGGCUAACUUCGUG
rnacentral:rRNA from 1 species